GUGAGGUGAUGACAAAGUUUAUCCAUUCUCUGAGUGCAGUGGCGCUGCCCUCCUGCAGCACCCCGAUUCCUGUUCUAGGGUCUGGGUGCUGUGCAGCCUCCAGAGACUCUCCAGUCUCCCAGUGUCCUACUGGGGGCUGCUGUGGUGUGUGGCUGGCUGGCUGUCUGCAGGAGUGAAGUGGUGCUGGCAGGGUUGGAGCCCCUCUUUGGGGUGGUUCCAUCCUCACUGAGAUGAGGGAUGAUGUCUGAUCAC